rnacentral:lncRNA from 12 species
CAUCGCGCUGCUUGUGGGAAGGGACACGGCUGGGUUCGUGACCCGCUUGACAAACCCCAUCAGAUUUUCACACGUACUUGGUGGAGUUUGUCUUUCGCCAACGUAGAUGCUGCACACACGGUAAGGGGCGUCCACCGGCACCCCCCUGCCCCCAGAUGGGGGACAUCUCCCACGGAGGAUGCUCUGAAAUGCGGUGUGUCCAGCCUCGACCUCGGACUUUACCGGCACCUGAAUCUCUGCCCCAUCCUCCGGCUUGCAAAAUCUCGACCACCCUGGAAGGAGACAAAUGGUGACCCUUAAGUGGGUCGCUGGCAAGAACUGAAACAAGGACAUGAUUUUCCCCUGGAGAGCUUUCAGCCAAGCUGUUCCAGCAGCAGGAGCAGAAACAACACGAGACGUGGAGACUGGCAGGUGAGUGCUUGCCGUCCACUCCACGGCCCUCUGCAGGAAGGGUUUCCCUGACUCCGAGUCGA